GAUUAGAGAAUCUUCUCUGACAAAAAAAGUCUCACUCGACAAACAUUCAUCACAUUCCAAUCCGCCAUCAAGGAGAGAACUCGUAAACCAGACCACUAAUCCAAAUCCUAAUCAAACGCCAUUCAACUUCCCUCGGCGAGUCCAAACUUUCAUAGUCCAGGUCAACAAACACAACGCCUCCGAAAA